rnacentral:rRNA from 1 species
AGCGAACGCUGGCGGCAGGCCUAACACAUGCAAGUCGAACGAAGUCUUCGGACUUAGUGGCGGACGGGUGGGUAACACGUGGGAACGUGCCUUUAGGUUCGGAAUAACUCAGGGAAACUUGUGCUAAUACCGAAUGUGCCCUUCGGGGGAAAGAUUUAUCGCCUUUAGAGCGGCCCGCGUCUGAUUAGCUAGUUGGUGAGGUAAAGGCUCACCAAGGCGACGAUCAGUAGCUGGUCUGAGAGGAUGAUCAGCCACAUUGGGACUGAGACACGGCCCAAACUCCUACGGGAGGCAGCAGUGGGGAAUCUUGCGCAAUGGGCGAAAGCCUGACGCAGCCAUGCCGCGUGAACGAUGAAGGUCUUAGGAUUGUAAAAUUCUUUCACCGGGGACGAUAAUGACGGUACCCGGAGAAGAAGCCCCGGCUAACUUCGUGCCAGCCGCCGCGGUAA